AUUGAACGCUGGCGGCAUGCCUUACACAUGCAAGUCGAACGGCAGCAUGAUCUAGCUUGCUAGAUUGAUGGCGAGUGGCGAACGGGUGAGUAAUACAUCGGAACGUGCCCUGUAGUGGGGGAUAACUAGUCGAAAGAUUAGCUAAUACCGCAUACGACCUGAGGGUGAAAGUGGGGGACCGCAAGGCCUCAUGCUAUAGGAGCGGCCGACGUCUGAUUAGCUAGUUGGUGGGGUAAAGGCCCACCAAGGCGACGAUCAGUAGCUGUCUGAGAGGACGAUCAGCCACACUGGGACUGAGACACGGCCCAGACUCCUACGGGAGGCAGCAGUGGGGAAUUUUGGACAAUGGGCGAAAGCCUGAUCCAGCAAUGCCGCGUGUGUGAAGAAGGCCUUCGGGUUGUAAAGCACUUUUGUCCGGAAAGAAAUGGCUCUGGUUAAUACCUGGGGUCGAUGACGGUACCGGAAGAAUAAGGACCGGCUAACUACGUGCC
rnacentral:rRNA from 1 species